rnacentral:rRNA from 1 species
AACGAACGCUGGCGGCAUGCCUAACACAUGCAAGUCGAACGAGACUUUCGGGUCUAGUGGCGCACGGGUGCGUAACGCGUGGGAAUCUGCCCUUGGGUUCGGAAUAACACAGAGAAAUUUGUGCUAAUACCGGAUGAUGUCUUCGGACCAAAGAUUUAUCGCCCAAGGAUGAGCCCGCGUAGGAUUAGGUAGUUGGUGGGGUAAUGGCCUACCAAGCCGACGAUCCUUAGCUGGUCUAAGAGGAUGAUCAGCCACACUGGGACUGAGACACGGCCCAGACUCCUACGGGAGGCAGCAGUGGGGAAUAUUGGACAAUGGGCGAAAGCCUGAUCCAGCAAUGCCGCGUGAGUGAUGAAGGCCUUAGGGUUGUAAAGCUCCUUUACCAGGGAUGAUAAUGACAGUACCUGGAGAAUAAGCUCCGGCUAACUCCGUGCCAGCCGCCGCCGUAAGAC